CCUACGGGAGGCUGCAGUGAGGAAUAUUGGUCAAUGGACGAGAGUCUGAACCAGCCAAGUAGCGUGAAGGAUGACUGCCCUAUGGGUUGUAAACUUCUUUUAUAUGGGAAUAAAAUGUUCCACGUGUGGGAUUUUGUAUGUACCAUAUGAAUAAGGAUCGGCUAACUCCGUGCCAGCAGCCGCGGUAAUACGGAGGAUCCGAGCGUUAUCCGGAUUUAUUGGGUUUAAAGGGAGCGUAGGUGGAUUGUUAAGUCAGUUGUGAAAGUUUGCGGCUCAACCGUAAAAUUGCAGUUGAAACUGGCAGUCUUGAGUACAGUAGAGGUGGGCGGAAUUCGUGGUGUAGCGGUGAAAUGCUUAGAUAUCACGAAGAACUCCGAUUGCGAAGGCAGUUCACUGGACUGCAACUGACACUGAGGCUCGAAAGUGUGGGUAUCAAACAGGAUUAGAGACCCUAGUAGUC
rnacentral:rRNA from 1 species